rnacentral:lncRNA from 1 species
GCAUAUAAUUAGCAUUGUUUAUGAAUAUGAUAAUAACAUUGUUUCUGAUGGAGGGGGUCAUCAUGUAGGGGGUCAUCAUGGACAUGUUCAUCAUGGAGGGGGUUAUCAUGGAGGGGGUCAUCAUGGAGGUGGUGGUGGAGGUGGCGGCGGAGGGUGUUGAGAAGACGGUGGAGGCUUCUGAUAUAUAGUUGGCGGUAUUUUGUUGGAUUGUAUUUACUUAGUUGACAUGCCACUUUAAUUAUACCUCUUUAUCUUAUGUGAAAUAAAUCGUGUAGUACUUCUAUUCAAAUUCAUGUUAUACUAUCAUAUUUUUAUAAGUUUCUAAAUUUGGAUAGUGAAUAUAUGCUUUAGUAUGUUGUAUUUUUUGAAUAAAAUUUGUGUUUU